UACGGAGGGUGCGAGCGUUGUCCGGAAUCACUGGGCGUAAAGGGCGCGUAGGCGGCUGGGGUAGUCCGUGGUGAAAGCUCGAGGCUCAACUUCGAGUCGGCCAUGGAUACUCCUCGGCUUGAGCACUGUAGAGGCAGGUGGAAUUCCGGGUGUAGCGGUGGAAUGCGUAGAGAUCCGGAAGAACACCGGUGGCGAAGGCGGCCUGCUGGGCAGUAGCUGACGCUGAUGCGCGACAGCGUGGGGAGCAAACAGG
rnacentral:rRNA from 1 species